rnacentral:antisense_RNA from 1 species
CUUCACCGACCCGAGCCACACGUGGCCGCUCGCGGCCCUGUCCGUACGUGGCCAGCAGGGCCUGCGCCUC